AUCGCUUCUCGGCCUUUUGGCUAAGAUCAAGUGUAGUAUCUGUUCUUACCAGUUUAUUCAUACUAUCUUUUAAUAGAACCUCACCAUUCUUAACACUAACAAUGUACUAGACACUUUGUGUCUUAUUUGAUUCUUACAACAGUCAUAUAGGAUGGGUUGUAUUGCCUCCAUUUGAGUAACUUGCCCAAGUUCACCCAG